AGAACCUGAGAGUUUGAUCCUGGCUCAGAACGAACGCUGGCGGCAUGCCUAACACAUGCAAGUCGAACGAAGGCUUCGGCCUUAGUGGCGCACGGG
rnacentral:rRNA from 1 species